rnacentral:rRNA from 1 species
AAAUUGAAGAGUUUGAUCAUGGCUCAGAUUGAACGCUGGCGGCAGGCCUAACACAUGCAAGUCGAGCGGUAGCACAGAGAGCUUGCUCUCGGGUGACGAGCGGCGGACGGGUGAGUAAUGUCUGGGAAACUGCCUGAUGGAGGGGGAUAACUACUGGAAACGGUAGCUAAUACCGCAUAACGUCGCAAGACCAAAGUGGGGGACCUUCGGGCCUCAUGCCAUCAGAUGUGCCCAGAUGGGAUUAGCUAGUAGGUGGGGUAAUGGCUCACCUAGGCGACGAUCCUAGCUGGUCUGAGAGGAUGACCAGCCACACUGGAACUGAGACACGGUCCAGACUCCUACGGGAGGCAGCAGUGGGGAAUAUUGCACAAUGGGCGCAAGCCUGAUGCAGCCAUGCCGCGUGUGUGAAGAAGGCCUUCGGGUUGUAAAGCACUUUCAGCGGGGAGGAAGGCGUUAAGGUUAAUAACCUUGGCGAUUGACGUUACCCGCAGAAGAAGCACCGGCUAACUCCGUGCCAGCAGCCGCGGUAAUACGGAGGGUGCAAGCGUUAAUCGGAAUUACUGGGCGUAAAGCGCACGCAGGCGGUCUGUCAAGUCGGAUGUGAAAUCCCCUCAACCCGGGAACUGCAUUCGAAACUGGCAGGCUAGAGUCUUGUAGAGGGGGGUAGAAUUCCAGGUGUAGCGGUGAAAUGCGUAGAGAUCUGGAGGAAUACCGGUGGCGAAGGCGGCCCCCUGGACAAAGACUGACGCUCAGGUGCGAAAGCGUGGGGAGCAAACAGGAUUAGAUACCCUGGUAGUCCACGCCGUAAACGAUGUCGAUUUGGAGGUUGUGCCCUUGAGGCGUGGCUUCCGGAGCUAACGCGUUAAAUCGACCGCCUGGGGAGUACGGCCGCAAGGUUAAAACUCAAAUGAAUUGACGGGGGCCCGCACAAGCGGUGGAGCAUGUGGUUUAAUUCGAUGCAACGCGAAGAACCUUACCUGGUCUUGACAUCCACAGAACUUUCCAGAGAUGGAUUGGUGCCUUCGGGAACUGUGAGACAGGUGCUGCAUGGCUGUCGUCAGCUCGUGUUGUGAAAUGUUGGGUUAAGUCCCGCAACGAGCGCAACCCUUAUCCUUUGUUGCCAGCGGUUAGGCCGGGAACUCAAAGGAGACUGCCAGUGAUAAACUGGAGGAAGGUGGGGAUGACGUCAAGUCAUCAUGGCCCUUACGACCAGGGCUACACACGUGCUACAAUGGCAUAUACAAAGAGAAGCGACCUCGCGAGAGCAAGCGGACCUCAUAAAGUAUGUCGUAGUCCGGAUUGGAGUCUGCAACUCGACUCCAUGAAGUCGGAAUCGCUAGUAAUCGUAGAUCAGAAUGCUACGGUGAAUACGUUCCCGGGCCUUGUACACACCGCCCGUCACACCAUGGGAGUGGGUUGCAAAAGAAGUAGGUAGCUUAACCUUCGGGAGGGCGCUUACCACUUUGUGAUUCAUGACUGGGGUGAAGUCGUAACAAGGUAACCGUAGGGGAACCUGCGGUUGGAUCACCUCCUUACCUUAAAGAA